CCAAUCGUGUUGUCUCCAAUUGCCCCCACCGCCACCCCCAGUGCAAUAACCCAGUUAAUAUUAGCAAGAACAAACGGUCGGAUAAACGCACAAGACAGUACACAGAGAUGAGCAAGCAAGAUAGAUUGGGGAGCAAUAAAACCCACUGAAAGCAGCAGUCUACCCUUUGUCCUUGCUUUGUAUUUAGGGUUCAGAAUGGCUUCAGGCACAACCAAGGUAUCAGCCAACAAGCAAAUACAGCAAAAGAGAGGCACUGACCUCUGCCUGAGACAUUUCAUCACCCAAAAGGAGGCACAACACAUCCCAAGACUCCUCUACGAUACCAGCCUCGGAGUACACCUUUCAGAUUGCAUUUAUAGACUUCUUACUUUUUUUUAAUGUUUUCCUCUGAGGAUCUGAGAGCAGCAGACAUGGGUCUUCCUCUGGUCCCCAUACACCUUUCACUUAUACCCUGUGAGGUAGGUUAGUCUAAGAUAUGGAAACUCUGCCUGAGGUCACUUAGUAAAGUUCAUGAUGGUUUGAA